AUGACAGCCCGGGAUCAUGAAACGUCCCGUGUACGUCGCUUACGUCGUGAUGUGCAACAAUCUGAUCAGUAUACAUGUGUUCACCAUUGUUUGACAGCUUUGAUGGCGUUUUCUUUUUUUUUUUUUUACCAUAAACAGGAAAGAGACCCGCAAGUGGCCACAUACUCGGGGAGCAGCAGCGACACAGAGACCGAACCCGAAGGACCCGGAGGCCGUCCACCGAGGAGCCCGAUCGACCGACUGAAGAAGCGCGACUCUGCAGCGGAGCAGAACGAGGAGACCCUGACCAGAAGCAGCGUGGAGAAGUCCUUGUCCAUCAUGGACUACUACCAGCACGAGAUGUUUUCUCCUGUGGAGAAGGACAGCCGGCGGAUCUCCCAGUACAACCUUUUGCACAAGGAGCGCUCGCCGGACGGGAGAGCGGGCGACCGACUCAGUAAGGAGGUUGCCAUGGAGAAGGCGCCCGUCAGCGCCCAGGCGAGCUCCCUCCACUUCUCCCUGGAGUCCCUGAACGAGCGGGAUCACACGGGGCCGGGCAGGGCGGACGGGCCCCCCCCCCCCACCUCCUCCUCCUCCUCCUCCUUCUCGGGCAAGCCGGCGGCCGAUCCCGCGGGCUCCCUCAGCGACUCGCUGUACGACAGCUUCUCCUCCUGCACCAGCCAGGGCUCCAACGAGGCGUAG
ensembl:lncRNA